AUACGUAGGGAGCGAGCGUUGUCCGGAUUUACUGGGUGUAAAGGGUGCGUAGGCGGCUCUGCAAGUCAGGUGUGAAAACCAUCGGCUUAACUGAUGGACUGCAUUUGAAACUGUGGGGCUUGAGUGGAGUAGAGGCAGACGGAAUUCCCGGUGUAGCGGUGAAAUGCGUAGAGAUCGGGAAGAACACCAGUGGCGAAGGCGGUCUGCUGGGCUCUAACUGACGCUGAGGCACGAAAGCAUGGGUAGCAAACAGGAUUAGAUACCCUGGUAGUCCAUGCCGUAAACGAUGAUUACUAGGUGUGGGGAGUCUGACCCUCUCCGUGCCGGAGUUAACACAAUAAGUAAUCCACCUGGGAAGUACGACCGCAAGGUUGAA
rnacentral:rRNA from 1 species